UACGGGGGGGGCAAGCGUUGUUCGGAAUUACUGGGCGUAAAGGGCUCGUAGGUGGCCAACUAAGUCAGACGUGAAAUCCCUCGGCUUAACCGGGGAACUGCGUCUGAUACUGGAUGGCUUGAGGUUGGGAGAGGGAUGCGGAAUUCCAGGUGUAGCGGUGAAAUGCGUAGAUAUCUGGAGGAAUACCGGUGGCGAAGGCGGCAUCCUGGACCGGCAUUGACGCUGAAGCGCGAAAGCUAGGGGAGCAAACGGG
rnacentral:rRNA from 1 species